UACGUAGGGCGCAAGCGUUAUCCGGAAUUAUUGGGCGUAAAGAGCUCGUAGGCGGUUUGUCGCGUCGAAUGUGAAAACCCGGGGCUCAACUCCGGGCCUGCAUUCGAUACGGGCAGACUAGAGUUCGGUAGGGGAGACUGGAAUUCCUGGUGUAGCGGUGAAAUGCGCAGAUAUCAGGAGGAACACCGAUGGCGAAGGCAGGUCACUGGGCCGCAACUGACGCUGAGGAGCGAAAGCAUGGGGAGCGAACAGG
rnacentral:rRNA from 1 species